GAGGGGGGAUAUAUUGGAUGAGGUUCCUGGUCUUCAGGGCUUUGCUUCCUGGGUCACAACUGUGGUGAUAUUGAGGACUUUAUGGUAGCAAUUCACGACCACCUCAUCACCACCAGAAAUUACACAAGCCUUAUCCUUGGGGACCUCAUACUAAGUGAUCAAUGUAGACUUCUAGGAUGAACCAAGAAACUCUGCAGCACAUCAUGGCAGCUGAAUUCUACCAAGAACUAGAACUUACCCUGGUAGCAAAGAAGUAUAGGGAAUCAAAACAAACCAACACACUGGCAAUAUCUGACAAGCUCAUCCAUCCCAAGAAAACUGUUUCACCAAUACUUCUCUGGCAUCACAUUUGGUCAUCAGAAGUUCUAAUAUCUUGCAUUGUUCUUUUUCCUUACAUUACUAUGGUGGCCAUUAUAUAAAUUGCAAUCCUAGUUCUUCUUCAUUCUGUAACAGUUCAAUCAAGCAAUAAACAUUUUUAA